CGGAUGAGUGGAACAUCUUUUCGACGGCAUUACUAUGGAUGAAUGAGAAAAGGGGAUGGCAAUAAUACCAAGGCAUGAAGAUUUGGAGGAUACUGCAUUGAAUGACCUAGACUAGAGAAAAGCCUCAACGGAAAAAAAAACACAGUUAAGAACACAAACGGGGCUGUGCGUUGCUUCGGGGGCUGGCUAGCAGAGAAUAAAUUUGUUGACGUCAAAACUGUCACUAAGGAAGAGUUUAACAUCCUGCUCCGACAGUUUUAUGGAAAUGUACGAAUUGGGAAGGGGGAGCAGUAUAGCAUGUCUCUACCUGGCACUCCUUAGUGGGCUCAACCGGUUUCUAAAUGACCCACCCAUCGGUCGCAACUGGUACCUCGAAUCAUGUAUUUCAGGGCAACAUCAAACAGCUGAGAACGCAAGGAAAAUAUAUCACUAAGCCGAUAAGGACAUGGCCCAGCUCAAACUCCCAGGCUCUGAAUCCCGGUACACCAAGCGGUCUGGUCCAGAAAGUGUGGUUCGACCUCCAGUUACAUCUGGGUCGAAGAGGAAAAGAGGAUACGCCACUCUCGCAUAUAACGAGGCGACAAAGAAUCUUCUGGACCCAAGGGAGACACCGGUGCCAAUAUAUCCAACAAACACCGUUUUCUCGGGAAUUAUCACAUAAGUCAGCUGUGGUGGAUAACAAAGUGAAUGUAUGGUUUCAUUUAUUAAAACCAGCUCAAAUGAA